rnacentral:misc_RNA from 1 species
GCAAAAACUAAAAUUAGAAUCACAAUGAAACUGAUUAAAACUGAACUAAAAUCCAAACCAAAAUUUAGUUCCUAAAAAUAAAAAAACAGAAGGUUCGGCUCCAAUUUCUAUUCUUAGCUAGAAUUGUAUUAAAACGCUGAACCGAUAUAGCAUUAGAUAUCUGGAACGGGUCAAUUCAUUAGGGUGUGGCCCCAUGGACCCGCCCAUCUGUAAUAACUACCUCUUUCCCAAAACGUUUAGCUGUAGCGAUCUACCUAUAUUCAUGCCUAGAUGAUUUUAUCCAUCUAUUCAAUAUGGCUGAUGUAAUGCCACUUUGAAUUGAUUUCAAUUUGUAAAAAAUUGCUGAGACAUAUUCAUGUUGCAUUUAUUUUUGAGAUAUAAUUGUAUCUAUUAAAGUUUUAUGCAUUAAAUAUAAUCAUUUGCAGCAAUGGUAAGCACUGAAUCUACAUGACUGAGUAGCCUGGGCCACCUCCUCCUUCAGGUACCGUCCACUCAAUGUUUUGCUUUGGAUCCUUGAUGUCACAUGCCUUGCAGUGUAGGCAAUUCUGAGCAUUGAUCUGUAACUUCAGUUGGCUCUUUUCAUUUGGGACAUACUCGUAUACACGAGCAGGACAAUAUCGUGACUCCGGUCCAGCAUAUUCUGGCAAAUUCACUAGCUCAGGAAUUUUAGGGUCCCUCAAACGAAGAUGAGCUGGUUGAUCGUGUUCAUGAUUUGUGUUGCUCCUAAAUAAAACAAGAUAAAUAUAUAAUUAUUUUCAUGCAUGAUGAAAAGUAAAGAACAGCAAUUACAUUAUUUUUGCCAAUGAAAGUAACAUAUUUCAAAUUAAGGCAUUCUAUUUCUAUAGUCCCUCCAGCUAAUAAAUUCUCAUGAAAAUAGACAACUGCUGGUAGAAAAUUCAUUAACAAGAAUCCUACUCCACUGCUCCAGUCUAUCCAGCCUAGACAUGCACAUAAAAUUUCAAAUAAUUAAUCUUUUCCAUCAACACUCCACAGUAAUAUUUAACCAAAAUCAAUCUGAUAUGGCACCAAUCAGUUACUUCAGCAGUUAUGAAAUCUUUUUGGUCUAGCACAUUCUACUUCUAAAGCAGCAUUACACAAACUUUUACUAAUAUCUUUACAACAUGGUCACUUAUUCUGAUACAUUACCUACUUGACAUGCCAUCUCACUUGUAAUAAAAAUUAUUAUUGAAAAAAGUCUCAUAUGCUACAGAAACAGAAGAAAAAUAGUUGUGGAAACAGAUGCUUGUUCGUAAAGAGUCCAAGGCCAUGUUUAAGUGCUGAAAAUUGAUGAUUUUUCACAUUAGGACCUUGCUUGUCAACAAGAAGAGAAAAAGUAGAAGGGAGAAAAAAGGCAGAAAUAUAAUGAUUGAGAUAACACAUGACCCAUUACUGUCAUAACAUCCUGAUAGUUCAUAGGAAUGCCACCACAGCUUCUCCACCCACCUAUUUUCAUGACAAGCUGGAUAAUAUGACAAACAUACAGUGGAACACCAACUCAAAGAGCCGUCAAAAAAUAAUUGCAAAUACAUCCUAACCAUAUUUUGACAAAUUUUGGGCGGGAGUGAAGGUGUCCUGCAUAAAAUCUCUUAAAUGAUACAUGAAAAUAUAUAUAUGAAGAAGCGUAUAUGUGUUGAAACCUGUGCAAAGAGGUUGGUACAUCAAAAGAAAAAACCCCAUCUGGUUUUGGAUAUUCAAUUGGAGAGUGUAAUUGUGCAACAUCUGUUGCUUCAUGAUCCGGUUUCCCAUGUUUCAGUGUGAAGGGGGACUUUCCUUUCAGUAUGUAGUGUUCUAAUGCACUUAUAGCCAUUCCAGGAAUAAGUCCAUGCUCAAAUGCAGGUCGAUAGUUCCGAGCUUUGUAGAGCUCUUCCCAUAUCCAAGAAUUCCUUAAAGUUUCCCAGUACAAUUCCAAAUUUGAGCCUUCAUGAAGAGCACCAAAUGCAGCUUCUGCUGCUAGCAUUCCUGAUUUCAUAGCAGUAUGUGUUCCCUUUAUUUUUGGUACAUUUAUGAAGCCAGCCGAACAUCCAAUAAUUGCUCCUCCCGGGAAAACUGGAUAUGGAAUAGACUGGAUACCUCCUUCAUUUAAAGUGCGAGCCCCAUACUGGAUGACAGUUCCACCUUCCAGAAUUGGUUUGAUGGCAGGAUGAUGCUUAAGUUUCUGGAAUUCCUCAUAUGGGCUUAAGUAAGGAUUCCUAUAAUUCAAAGCAACCACUAGGCCUAUUGAAACCUGCCUGUCUUUCAUGUGAUAUAGAAAUGAUCCUCCAUAUGUUUUCUUAUCCAAGGGCCAACCUAAUGUGUGAAGAAUUGCACCAGGAUUAUGCUUGCUCUCAUCAAUUUCCCAAACCUCCUUAAUUCCCAAAGCGUAAGUCUGAUGUUGAGCAUUCACCUUCUCUCUCAAUUGGUAUUUUUUAAUUAUUUUCUCUGACAGUGAUCCUCGACAACCUUCAGCAAAAAGCGUUAACCGACCUUUUAAUUCUACACCACGCUGAAAAUUCUCCUUCUUAGAACCAUCUUUGGCAAUUCCCAUAUCAUUAGUUCCAAUCCCAAUGACACUGUUGUUCGCACCAUAUAGUAUCUCACUCGCAGCAAAACCUGGAUAUAUAUCCACUCCAAAUUCUUCAGCUUUCACCCCCAUCCAUCGCACUAAUUGACUCAAACUUAUAACAUAGUUCCCCCGGUUAUCAAAAGGACUCGGAAGCGAAUAGGCACGAUCCUUUGUAAGAAACCAAAAUUUGUCUGAAGAAGCAGGUACACUGAUUGGUGCCUGUUCCUGUUUCCACUGUGGGAGAAGCUCGUCUAGCGCCCGGGGCUCAAACACAUUGCCAGAUAUGAUGUGGGCACCCACUUCAGCGCCUUUCUCAACUACACAGACCGAUAAAUCCACACCCUUUUCUUGGCACAAUUGCUUCAAUCUUAUUGCAGCAGAUAAACCCGCCGGCCCCGCUCCAACAAUCACAACAUCGUACUCUAUAGACUCUCGCUCCGGUUCAACGCUAAAACAUCUAAUAAUACUUCGAUUUCCAUCAGAAAUCGCACAGUUUGGCAAGUACCCAGAAGAGGGAAACCAGUUACAACCACUUUUAGAGGCUAAAAAACUUAAAUUUUGAUUAAAACGGCGAAAGUAGGGAGACCCAUUCAGAUUUUGCGUUUGAUAUGAGGAACCAGAGAGUUUUGGAAGAGAUGUACAUGGAUUGGACUGAGAUUUAUUAUCUGCCGAGUUAGUUGAAUUGGAGAGAUGAUUACAAUGGGAGAUGGAGGAGACAGAAGAUUUCGAUAAAAGGAAUUUGGAGCGGGAAGAGAUGAAUCUAUGCAUGAUUGAUCGAUGGCGUACGGGAAUUGAGACAGAAAGCUGAGUGCUUUAUAUGGUUUGUUUGCUUAUUAUUCAAUUCGUUCAAGAUCAGGCUGAGUGAUGGGAUACUGACGUGCAAAGUUCAUCUUCGUUCGGACACGUGUUGAACGUAAGCUCUCGAAUACCAAUUGUCACUGUUACUUUGGGAGGGAAAAGAAGACGUAAGACAUGAAUUUUCUUAUGCAAAAUAAGUGAUUCGAUUCUGUUAUUAAUUAAGC